UCCGUAGGUGAACCUGCGGAAGGAUCAUUAUUGAAAACAAGGGUGUCCAAUUUAACUUGGAACCCGAACUUCUCAAUUCUAACUUUGUGCAUCUGUAUUAUGGCGAGCAGUCUUCGGAUUGUGAGCCUUCACUUAUAAACACUAGUCUAUGAAUGUAAAAUUUUUAUAACAAAUAAAAACUUUCAACAACGGAUCUCUUGGCUCUCGCAUCGAUGAAGAACGCAGCGAAAUGCGAUACGUAAUGUGAAUUGCAGAAUUCAGUGAAUCAUCGAAUCUUUGAACGCAUCUUGCGCUCUCUGGUAUUCCGGAGAGCAUGUCUGUUUGAGUGUCAUGAAUUCUUCAACCCAAUCUUUUCUUGUAAUCGAUUGGUGUUUGGAUUUUGAGCGCUGCUGGCUUCGGCCUAGCUCGUUCGUAAUACAUUAGCAUCCCUAAUACAAGUUUGGAUUGACUUGGCGUAAUAGACUAUUCGCUAAGGAUUCGGUGGAAACAUCGAGCCAACUUCAUUAAGGAAGCUCCUAAUUUAAAAGUCUACCUUUUGAUUAGAUCUCAAAUCAGGCAGGAUUACCCGCUGAACUUAAGCAUAUCAAUAAGCGGAGGA
rnacentral:rRNA from 2 species